rnacentral:rRNA from 1 species
UACGGGGGGAGCAAGCGUUGUUCGGAUUUACUGGGCGUAAAGGGCGCGUAGGCGGCCUCUUAAGUCGAACGUGAAAUCCCCGGGCUCAACCCGGGAACUGCGUCCGAUACUGGGGGGCUUGAAUCCGGGAGAGGGAUGUGGAAUUCCAGGUGUAGCGGUGAAAUGCGUAGAUAUCUGGAGGAACACCGGUGGCGAAGGCGGCAUCCUGGACCGGUAUUGACGCUGAGGCGCGAAAGCCAGGGGAGCAAACGGG